rnacentral:rRNA from 1 species
UACGUAGGGUGCAAGCGUUGUCCGGAAUUAUUGGGCGUAAAGGGUGCGUAGGCGGCGCGGUAAGUCGGGUGUGAAAUCUCGGAGCUUAACUCCGAAACUGCAUUCGAUACUGCCGUGCUUGAGGACUGGAGAGGAGACUGGAAUUUACGGUGUAGCGGUGAAAUGCGUAGAUAUCGUAAGGAAGACCAGUGGCGAAGGCGGGUCUCUGGACAGUUCCUGACGCUGAGGCGCGAAAGCCAGGGGAGCAAACGGG